UACACUCCUACGGGAGGCAGCAGUGGGGAAUUUUGGACAAUGGGCGAAAGCCUGAUCCAGCAAUGCCGCGUGUGUGAAGAAGGCCUUCGGGUUGUAAAGCACUUUUGUCCGGAAAGAAAUCCUUGGCUCUAAUACAGUCGGGGGAUGACGGUACCGGAAGAAUAAGCACCGGCUAACUACGUGCCAGCAGCCGCGGUAAUACGUAGGGUGCGAGCGUUAAUCGGAAUUACUGGGCGUAAAGCGUGCGCAGGCGGUUUGCUAAGACCGAUGUGAAAUCCCCGGGCUCAACCUGGGAACUGCAUUGGUGACUGGCAGGCUAGAGUAUGGCAGAGGGGGGUAGAAUUCCACGUGUAGCAGUGAAAUGCGUAGAGAUGUGGAGGAAUACCGAUGGCGAAGGCAGCCCCCUGGGCCAAUACUGACGCUCAUGCACGAAAGCGUGGGGAGCAAACAGGAUUAGAUACCCGAGUAGUCCCAUGA
rnacentral:rRNA from 1 species